UGAUUGCGUAACGCGUGGGAAUCUGCCUUUAGGUUCGGAAUAACUCAGAGAAAUUUGAGCUAAUACCGGAUAAUGUCUUCGGACCAAAGAUUUAUUGCCUUUAGAUGGGCCCGCGUUGGAUUAGCUAGUUGGUGGGGUAAAGGCCUACCAAGGCGACGAUCCAUAGCUGGUCUGAGAGGAUGAUCAGCCACACUGGGACUGAGACACGGCCCAGACUCCUACGGGAGGCAGCAGUGGGGAAUAUUGGACAAUGGGCGAAAGCCUGAUCCAGCAAUGCCGCGUGAGUGAUGAAGGCCUUAGGGUUGUAAAAU
rnacentral:rRNA from 1 species